rnacentral:rRNA from 1 species
UACAGAGGGUGCGAGCGUUGUCCGGAAUCACUGGGCGUAAAGGGCGCGUAGGUGGUGGCUUAAGCGUGCGGUGAAAGCUCGGAGCUCAACUCCGAGUCGGCCGUGCGAACUGGGCUCACUGGAGCAUAGUAGAGGCAGGUGGAAUUCCGGGUGUAGCGGUGGAAUGCGUAGAGAUCAGGAGGAACACCGGUGGCGAAGGCGGGUCUCUGGGCCGAUACUGACGCUGAGGAGCGAAAGCGUGGGGAGCGAACAGG